AGCAGCAGCAAGUCCAGCAGUUGAGA
rnacentral:piRNA from 1 species